rnacentral:rRNA from 1 species
CUACGGGAGGCAGCAGUAGGGAAUAUUGCUUAAUGGGCGAAAGCCUGAAGCAGCAACGCCGCGUGUGCGAUGAAGGCCUUCGGGUUGUAAAGCACUUUUGAUCGGGAAGAGGAAGGACGGUACCGGUCGAAUAAGCCUCGGCUAACUACGUGCCAGCAGCCGCGGUAAAACGUAGGAGGCGAGCGUUAUCCGGAUUUACUGGGUGUAAAGCGCGUGCAGGCGGUUGGCUAAGUUGGGUGUGAAAGCUCCUGGCUCAACUAGGAGAGGUCGCUCAAAACUGGCCGACUGGAGAGCAGUAAGGGAAGGUGGAAUUCCGGGUGUAGUGGUGAAAUGCGUAGAUAUCCGGAGGAACACCAGUGGCGAAGGCGGCCUUCUGGACUGCAUCUGACGCUCAGACGCGAAAGCUAGGGGAGCAAACGGGAUUAGAUACCCUGGUAGC